GAUGAACGCUGGCGGCGUGCUUAACACAUGCAAGUCGAACGGAAAGGCCCAAGCUUGCUUGGGUCCUCGAGUGGCGAACGGGUGAGUAACACGUGGGUGAUCUGCCCUGCACUUCGGGAUAAGCCUGGGAAACUGGGUCUGAUACCGGAUAGGACCACCUUUUGGGUGGUGUGGUGGAAAGUUUUUCGGCGUGGGAUGAGCUCGCGGCCUAUCAGCAUGUUGGUGGGGUAGUGGCGUACCAAGACGUCGACGGGGAGUCGGCGUGAGAGGGGGUUCGGCCACAUUGGGGGAGAGAGACAGGGCAGAGACCUACAGGGGGCGGAGGAGGGGAAUAUUGCACAAUGGGGGCGAGCGUGAGGCAGCGAAGCGGCGUGGGGGGUGAGGGCGUUCGGGUGGUAAAAUCCUCUCGCGAGGGACGAGGCGUGUGUGUGACGGUACCUGGAGAAGAAGCACCGGCUAACUACGUG
rnacentral:rRNA from 1 species